GCUUUACUUACAUUGUAAAAUGAGGUUAAAUGUGUAUCACUGAAUUGUAUGAUUUGUUCAGGAUCAGCUGAGAUGUUAUUUCACUGGAUUAUUUAAUGGAUAGGCUUAUUGGGCAUAUGGUUGGAUAUCUCUGGAUCAGCUGAGAUGUUAUUUCACUGGAUUAUUUAAUGGAUAGGCUUAUUGGGCAUAUAGUUGAAUAUCUCUGUCAUCAACAUGGAAGAAAUGUUUUGUUCCUAACCAUCUAUAAUGAAUUCUCUAUGAAGUUCAGACUGUCUGCUCUUCCUUUGGAAAUACACAGUUAGUCAAUCAACAUAGAAACACACAAACUUGAAGGAUAUUCUAGUGAGGGCUUGUGGAAAUGAUCUAUGUCUACUCUCAGAAUGGUGAAAGACUAUCAGAUUAUGCAAAGACUAACAGAAUAUCCUCUCUUGGAACACUGAAACAAGAAAAUCAAACAGGAGGUGGAUGGAGGAUUUAAGAAGCACAUAGAUAAAUAUGAUUUCCAACCAAUUUAACCAGUAUGAUCAUAAACUGUGGUUUACAGGAUGACAAAGAAAGGAGCCAGGAUUGUAUCUUUCACUGUCAGACACUGACUAUGAAUAAGAUGUAGCCAUUUAUCAGACUGAGAUCUAGUCAAAUCAAGUAUUGAAAAUAUGAAAAUAUGAUUUUCUGAUAGCAUGAGCUCUUUAAAAACUAAUUCUCACUGACCUCAAAGUAUGUGAAUGUGACUUUUAUUUUUACCAAUUCAUAUUGAAGACUGUUGUUAUGUAUGGGAAUUACACAUUAAAACCUUUUAUUUUUCAUCUAAUUUUUACAACCCCCUAGAAAUUAACACAGAUAUCCAGAUGCUGGAUUUAAUGUUAUUAUUUAACUUUCCUGGAACUGUAAAUAUAUUUUGUUUGUGUAUGUAUCAUGUUUAAUUUUGAAUUUAAAAUUGGUCUCAAUAAGACCCCCAAUAAAGAUGCAAGUGUCCCAUAAUCUGUGUUUUAAUAAUAUUUUGAAUAUCUUUAUCAUACCAUAUUCAUCAUACUAAUUACAUAUAGAAUGGUUGUAGGAAUACACUUUGUUGUUAAGGACACUUUGUCAAGGUCAAAGCAUAAGAUUAUUGAGAUGACUUCUUUGACAAUAAUUUGUAACUUACAAACUUCACAUCAUAAGUACACACUCAGAUUUAAGAAUCAAUAAGAUAUUUCUAUAGAGUUUUUGGAUCAUUUACUCCUGGGUAAAAGUUAAUUACUGAGAUUACUGAUUUGAAUCCUGUAAUGCAAUAACUUAAACAUUGUGUAAUAACUUAUAGACUUUAUAAAAAUUAGGUGCAAAUUCUUAG